rnacentral:rRNA from 1 species
UACGUGAUCCUCAAGCGUUAUCCGGAUUCAUUGGGCGUAAAGGGUCCGUAGGCGUUUUAUUAGGUUUUCUGUUAAAGCUUGGGGCUUAACUCCAAGACUGCAGAAAAAACCAGUAGAAUAGAGGGCAUUAGGGGCUGAUGGAACGGUCGGUGUAGGGGUGGAAUCCGUUGAUAUCGACCGGAACACCAAAAGCGAAGGCAUUCAGCUGGGAUGACCCUGACGCUGAGGGACGAAAGCGUGGGUAGCAAAAAGGAUUAGAUACCCCCGUA